rnacentral:misc_RNA from 1 species
UCAUUAAAGCGUUGCCGACGCCGGCCCUCGCCGCCCGAGCUUGAGAUAUAGCCCGGGCUGUCGCUGGGGGUCGCCGGCAUAUGCCCAUUCUUGUCUACUGACCCAGUUGCCUCGGCGUGCCGCUCCGCCUAGCGGACGGCCGGAAGCCGCCUGGACGUCUGUCCUCGCGGCCCUGGUCCGCGCACGCCGGAGGACAGCCUAAAACUCUUUACUUAAACGGCCGUCUGAGCGUAUAAGCAAAAAUCAAUUAAAACUUUCAACAACGGAUCUCUUGGUUCCGGCAUCGAUGAAGAACGCAGCGAAAUGCGAUAAGUAAUGUGAAUUGCAGAAUUCCGUGAAUCAUCGAAUCUUUGAACGCACAUUGCGCCCCCUGGUAUUCCGGGGGGCAUGCCUGUUCGAGCGUCAUUGCAACCCUCAAGCCCGGCUUGUGUGAUGGACGACCGUCCCCCCUUCAGUGGGCGGGACGCGCCCGAAAAGCAGUGGCCAGGCCGAGAUUCCGGCGCCUGAGCGAAUGGGACUUCCACCGCUUCUAGGACCGGCCGGCACCUGGCCUCAAACCGGAGGCCUCCUUAACCGGAGCCUCUAUCACCAAAGGUUGACCUCGGAUCAGGUAGGGAUACCCGCUGAACUUAAGCAUAUCA